rnacentral:misc_RNA from 1 species
GGUUGGAUCACCUCCUUUCUGGAGUUUAUCCUCUGGCCUCGAGCCGGAGGGAAGCUCGGUCAAUACCCGCAGAAAUUGCACUCACUAUUCGGUCUUGAGAGACCGACCGAGUCGACCCGACACGGCUGGGGGAUUAGCUCAGCUGGGAGAGCGCGGGCUUUGCAAGCCUGAGGUCGAGGGUUCAAGUCCCUUAUCCUCCACUCUCUGGUCGUUCUAUUGACAACUAAAUAGGUGAAUGAAGCGCGAAAGCACGUAGUAAAGGCGAUAUCGCCCUCUUUGUUGUUUUGGGUGAUAUCGUGUUUGAAUGUGCGAAUUCGCUGUUCUCUUUGUCUGGGAUAUGAAUCUGCGAACGGCAAAAAUCGCAAACUGGGUGGUCACCAGCCUGCGUCUCAUGAGCUUCGGCUCAUGAAGCUUUUGCGCGAAAGCGCGCAAAAGCUAAACAAUGGUUUGGUGGUCAAGCUAGUAAGGGCAGUUGGUGGAUGCCUAGGCGCCAAGAGGCGAUGAAGGACGUGGCAAGCUGCGAAAAGCUACGGGGAGGUGCAAACAACCGUCGAUCCGUGGAUGUCCGAAUGGGGAAACCCGUACCGAGUCAUGUCGGUACAUCCCUCGGCUGAAUACAUAGGCCUUGGGAAGCCAACGAGGGGAAGUGAAACAUCUCAGUACCCUCAGGAAAGGAAAUCAAUCGAGACUCCGCUAGUAGUGGCGAGCGAACGCGGACCAGCCUAAACCGGGCGUGUGUAAGCCUGCCGGCGUUUCACGAACGGAGUUGUAGGGCCAUGCAGAGGUCGCGGCAGCGACUUCAGAGAGUUACCAAAUGAUCGCGUAGCCGAAGGAGCCUGGAAAGGCCAACCAAAGAAGGUGAUAGUCCUGUAGGCGAAAUGUGAGUCAUCUCUCGCGUGGUCCCUGAGUACGGCGGGACUCGUGGAAUCCCGUUGGAAUCUGGGAGGACCAUCUCCCAAGGCUAAGUACUACUUGGCGACCGAUAGUGAACUAGUACCGUGAGGGAAAGGUGAAAAGAACCCCCGCGAGGGGAGUGAAAUAGUCCCUGAAACCGACUGUCUACAAGCCGUGAAAGCACUAUGGCCUUCGGGCAAUGUGCAAUCGCGUGCCUUUUGCAUAAUGAUCCUGCGAGUUACGGUAUCCGGCGAGGCUAAGUCGUUAGACGAAGCCGAAGCGAAAGCGAGUCUGAAUAGGGCGUUUAGUCGAAUGCCGUAGACCCGAAACCCGAGUGAUCUAUCCAUGCCAGGGUGAAGGGCGGGUAACACCGCCUGGAGGUCCGAACUCACUAGUGUUGAAAAACUAGGGGAUGAGCUGUGGAUAGGAGUGAAAGGCUAAUCAAACUGGGUGAUAGCUGGUUCUCGCCGAAAUAUAUCUAGGUAUAGCGUCCGGACAUUCAGUGACGGAGGUAGAGCGCUGGAUGGGCUAGGGGUCCCACCAGAUUACCAAACCCAACCAAACUCCAAAUGCCGUCAACUGUUAUCCGGGCAGUCAGGCCGCGGGAGCUAAGUUUCGUGGCCAAGAGGGAAAGAGCCCAGACCGCCAGCUAAGGUCCCCAAAUUGGUGCUAAGUGGCAAAGGAUGUGGGGGCACACAGACAGCCAGGAAGUUGGCUUAGAAGCAGCCAUCCUUCAAAGAAAGCGUAAUAGCUCACUGGUCAAGUGAACCUGCGCCAAAAAUUAAACGGGGCUAAAGCACUGUACCGAAGCUGCGGACUGACGUGACUCUUCGGAGUCGCACAGUGGUAGGCGAGCAUUCUCUGCGCGGUGAAGGCGGACGGACAACGACCGUUGGAGCGCUGGGAAGAGCUUAUGCAGGAUUGAGUAGCGAUAAAACAGGUGAGAAACCUGUUCGCCGUAAGCCCAAGGAUUCCUGGGUCAAGUUAAUCUUCCCAGGGUUAGUCGGUCCCUAAGUCGAGGCCGAGAGGCGUAGAUGAUGGGAAUCAGGUUAAUAUUCCUGAACCACUAUGGAUGAUUUCCACAGGAGGGACGGAGAAGGGUAGCUGAUCCGGGUUGUUGGAUUGCCCGGUUCAAGCUCGUAGGAGGACUCGUUAGGAGGCCUAGUGCCACAAACGGCGAGUCAUUACUCCGAGAAGUCAUGAGGAGAGCGCUUGCGCUCACAAACUCAGUGAUCCCACGCUUCCGAGAAAAGCUCCGGUGGAGUUAAUCACUAUAGUGACCGUACCGCAAACCGACUCAGGUGGGCGGGGAGAGUAUCCCAAGGCGUUUGAGAGAACCCUGGUUAAGGAACUCAGCAAAAUGACACCGUAACUUCGGGAGAAGGUGUGCCUCUGUUACGUGAACGGCCUCGCGCCGCGAGCGGAAGGAGGUUGCAGAGAAACGGGAGUAGCGACUGUUUACCAAAAACACAGCACUCUGCUAAGUCGCAAGACGACGUAUAGGGUGUGAUGCCUGCCCGGUGCCGGAAGGUUAAGAGGAGAGGUCAGCCGCAAGGCAAAGCUUUGAAUCGAAGCCCCGGUAAACGGCGGCCGUAACUAUAACGGUCCUAAGGUAGCGAAAUUCCUUGUCGGGUAAGUUCCGACCUGCACGAAUGGCAUAACGACUGCUCCACUGUCUCAACCAGGGACUCAGCGAAGUAGCACUGGGGGUGAAGAUACCCCCUACCCGCGGCAGGACGGAAAGACCCCGUGAACCUUUACUGUAGCUUGACACUGACAUUCGGAUCAGUUUUGCGUAGGAUAGGUGGGAGGCUUUGAAGUCGGGAUUCCGGUCUCGGCGGAGCCAACGUUGAAAUACCACCCUGAUUGUUUUGGAUGUCUAACCUGCACCCGUUAGCCGGGUGGGGGACAAUGUCUGGUGGGCAGUUUGACUGGGGCGGUCGCCUCCCAAAGAGUAACGGAGGCGCG